rnacentral:rRNA from 1 species
GCUAAUACCGGAUGAUGUCUUCGGACCAAAGAUUUAUCGCCUAAAGAUGAGCCCGCGUCGGAUUAGCUAGUUGGUGAGGUAAAAGCUCACCAAGGCGACGAUCCGUAGCUGGUCUGAGAGGAUGAUCAGCCACACUGGGACUGAGACACGGCCCAGACUCCUACGGGAGGCAGCAGUGGGGAAUAUUGGACAAUGGGCGAAAGCCUGAUCCAGCAAUGCCGCGUGAGUGAUGAAGGCCUUAGGGUUGUAAAGCUCUUUUACCCGGGAUGAUAAUGACAGUACCGGGAGAAUAAGCCCCGGCUAACUCCGUGCC